GGGGGCGACACGGUUUCGACGGAAACUGCCGCUGCUCGAAGGCAUGCCGGGCCCCACCUGCCCGCAAUCGGGUGGAACAACACAACUGGCAACUCACAGUUGGCUCUCGCAGCCUAACCAAAAGUAAGCUGCGCGUCUCCCCAGGCGUCACCUACGCGUUUGGGAUGAGGCGUCACACAGUAGGCUGGCCGUCGCGUUUCGGUCCGUAACGCAGCGGCGAGAUCAUCGGACUAGCCGGGGGCGCGUCUUGCCCGCUCUGAGUUCCCUCGGUGAAACCAUCGGAACGGGACAAGCAUGUAGUCUUCGGGUGGCAAGGUUUUUCGGACGGGGGUUCAACUCCCCCCGCCUCCACCG
rnacentral:tmRNA from 1 species